UACGUAGGGUGCGCGCGUUGUCCGGCAUUAUUGGGCGUAAAGAGCUCGUAGGCGGUCUGUCGCGUCGAUCGUGAAAACUUGGGGCUUAACCCUGAGCUUGCGGUCGAUACGGGCAUGACUGGAGUUCGGCAGGGGAGACUGGAAUUCCUGGUGUAGCGGUGAAAUGCGCAGAUAUCAGGAGGAACACCGGUGGCGAAGGCGGGUCUCUGGGCCGAGACUGACGCUGAGGAGCGAAAGCGUGGGGAGCGAACAGG
rnacentral:rRNA from 1 species